rnacentral:tRNA from 2 species
CUCUCAGUGGCCAAGCUGGCUAAGGCGCGAGACUGUAAAUCUUGAGAUCGGGUGUUCGACUCACCCCUGGGAGA